UACGGAGGGUGCAAGCGUUAUCCGGAUUUACUGGGUUUAAAGGGAGCGCAGGCGGAUUGGUAAGUCAGUGGUGAAAUACCCGUGCUUAACUUGGGAACUGCCGUUGAUACUAUCAGUCUUGAAUACCGUGGAGGUGAGCGGAAUAUGUCAUGUAGCGGUGAAAAUGCUUAGAUAUGACAUAGAACACCAAUUGCGAAGGCAGCUCGCUACACGAAUAUUGACUCUGAGGCACGAAAAGCGUGGGGAUCAAACAGG
rnacentral:rRNA from 1 species